UACGUAGGGUGCAAGCGUUGUCCGGAAUUAUUGGGCGUAAAGCGCACGUAGGCGGAUUGUUAAGUCAGGGGUGAAAUCCUGGAGCUCAACUCCAGAACUGCCUUUGAUACUGGCGAUCUUGAGUCCGGGAGAGGUGAGUGGAACUGCGAGUGUAGAGGUGAAAUUCGUAGAUAUUCGCAAGAACACCAGUGGCGAAGGCGGCUCACUGGCCCGGUACUGACGCUGAGGUGCGAAAGCGUGGGGAGCAAACAGG
rnacentral:rRNA from 1 species